rnacentral:rRNA from 1 species
GGCUUAAUACAUGCAAGUCGAGCGGUCUCCUUCGGGAGACAGCGGCGGACGGGUUAGUAACGCGUGGGAACGUGCCCUUUAGUACGGAAUAGCCAUUGGAAACGAUGAUUAAUACCGUAUACGCCCUAUGGGGGAAAGAUUUAUCGCUAAAGGAUCGGCCCGCGUUAGAUUAGGUUGUUGGUGGGGUAAUGGCCUACCAAGCCUACGAUCUAUAGCUGGUUUGAGAGGAUGAUCAGCAACACUGGGACUGAGACACGGCCCAGACUUCUACGGAAGGCAGCAGUAGGGAAUCUUGGACAAUGGGCGAAAGCCUGAUCCAGCCAUGCCGCGUGAGUGAUGAAGGCCCUAGGGUUGUAAAACUCUUUCGCCAGGGAAGAUAAUGACGGUACCUGGUAAAGAAACCCCGGCUAACUCCGUGCCAGCAGCCGCGGUAAUACGGAGGGGGUUAGCGUUGUUCGGAAUUACUGGGCGUAAAGCGCACGUAGGCGGACUAGUCAGUCAGAGGUGAAAUCCCGAGGCUCAACCUCGGAACUGCCUUUGAUACUACUGGUCUAGAGUUCGAGAGAGUGAGUGGAAUUCCGAG